GACGAACGCUGGCGGCGUGCUUAACACAUGCAGGUCGAACGGAAAGGCCCUGCUUUUGUGGGGUGCUCGAGUGGCGAACGGGUGAGUAACACGUGAGUAACCUGCCCUUGACUUUGGGAUAACUUCAGGAAACUGGGGCUAAUACCGGAUAGGAGCUCCUGCUGCAUGGUGGGGGUUGGAAAGUUUCGGCGGUUGGGGAUGGACUCGCGGCUUAUCAGCUUGUUGGUGGGGUAGUGGCUUACCAAGGCUUUGACGGGUAGCCGGCCUGAGAGGGUGACCGGCCACAUUGGGACUGAGAUACGGCCCAGACUCCUACGGGAGGCAGCAGUGGGGAAUAUUGCACAAUGGGCGGAAGCCUGAUGCAGCAGCGCCGCGUGCGGGAUGACGGCCUUCGGGUUGUAAACCGCUUUCGCCUGUGACGAAGCGUGAGUGACGGUAAUGGGUAAAGAAGCACCGGCUAACUACGUG
rnacentral:rRNA from 1 species